GUUGUUCCAGGGAGACCCAUACAGACAUAUGGCCUGCAGAAUUGUAAGAUAAUAAAUUUGUGUUGUUUCAAGCCAGCAGGUCCUAAACUGACUCUGGGGACUAAAGAAAAAAAGUAUAACUUAUCAUGGAAGUUGCUUAAGUGCAAAAUUAAUUAGGUCAGGGGAGGAUUGGAUAUGGAGAUUAAACUGUCAUGCUUGGAUCUGGAUGAAGAAAAAGAGGGGACUGUGUUGUUAGGUGGAGGAUGGCCUGCAUUCCUGCCUUGUUCCAACGCUUGCUAGCAAGCUGACUUCGGGAAGAUUAGGGCACCAUCCAAAAGAAAAUGGCCAUGUUCUUCCUGAUGAGAAAUGUAGGAUACCGGAUUGCUAGCAUCCUUUCAAGUAGCCCAUUAUAUCCAUGUCUCAGAGAAACCAUACGUAGACACAGCAUCAUCUCUACCCAUAAAAGGUGGCAUUCUGCAAGACUGAGAAGAUGCCCACCUCCAUUCCCAGAGUCCAGGCCUUCAUUAACUCACACGUGAACUACAGAAG
rnacentral:sRNA from 1 species